UUCAGUUGGGCACUCUAAGGUGACUGCCGGUGACAAACCGGAGGAAGGUGGGGAUGACGUCAAAUCAUCAUGCCCCUUAUGACCUGGGCUACACACGUGCUACAAUGGACAGAACAAAGGGCAGCGAGACCGCGAGGUUAAGCCAAUCCCACAAAUCUGUUCUCAGUUCGGAUCGCAGUCUGCAACUCGACUGCGUGAAGCUGGAAUCGCUAGUAAUCGCGGAUCAGCAUGCCGCGGUGAAUACGUUCCCGGGCC
rnacentral:rRNA from 1 species